AACUCACGGACCGCGAGAUCGUGACCUGGCUGAAGUCGGAAGCUUAACCGACUGCGCCACCCAGGUGUCCCAAGAAUAUUUUCAAAUCACUUGCAUCAGGAAUCCAUUUAGAUGGUACCUACUCUACAAAAGGAAAAUUGAUAGCAUCUACAUGACAAAUCUGAAGAGAACCUGGGAGAAGCUUCUGCAGGGAGGCAACAUUGUUGCCAUUGAAACCCCAGCUGAUGUCAGCGUCAUAUGCUUUAGGGAUACUGGUUGGUGAGCUGUGCUGCAUUUGGCUGCUGCCCUAUGGACGCUCCUACUGCUGGAACCUUCUCUAGCUCGAUCCAGGCAAUUUACUUCUGGAACCUUCAGUACCCUCAUCCAGGAGCCUUCAGAGAGCCGAGACUUCCGGUAGUUACUGAUCCCAGGGCUGACCACUAGCCUCUCCUAAAUUAAUCAGCCUGUCAUUGCUCUGUGUGAUACCAACUCUCCUCUGCGCUGCGUGGUCAUUGCCAUUGCCACCCCCUGCAACUUGUUAGCAAAGGAAGCUCACUCAGUGGCCUUGAUGAGGGGCAGCCGGGCAGGGAGUUUCUGCACCUGCGUGCUCCACAUCUCGCGGGAACACCAACGGGAAAUCACAGCUGAUCCCUAUUUCUGCAGACGUGUUGGGGAGAUUGAGAAGCAAGAACCAGCUGCUGCUGCAAAGGCUGUGACCGAGGAGGAAGGUCGGGUAGGUGGACUGCUCCAGUUCCCGAGGUUCCUGCUGCUCAACCUUAGGUUGCAGACUGGCCUGAAGGCCUACAACUUUGGUGAUGAGAAGAUCUUCUAGGAGCACAUGGUGUUCUUCAGAGGACUAAAAACCACGUGGCCCAGUAAGGAUCCUACAGGACCCGGAGAAGCCACAGGAGCUGUGGACUCGCUGGUGCCUCACAGUACCCUGUGGGACUUGAGAGAAGAUCCACUGCUGUUCCCUUCAGAGCCCUCCAGUAGUUCAUCUGUUUCAAAGGACUCUAUUUCUCAUAUCUUCAGGAAGAGUCAACCUGUCUGCAGUUAAUGUUUACAGAUGCAAAGAUAUCGAAACACCAUUUGAAUAAGUUUGUUUUCCCUCUGUACAAGGUGUCCUAAGAGUACUAAGAAAUCACUUUGAUCACAAUUGAUGAUUCCCAGUGAUGGCCAACAGUGAGCCACCCUAGCAAACUUUGGGGCCUAGAAUUCUGAAAUCAAGUUGUCGGCAGGCUGUGUUCCCUCUGAAACCUGUAGGGGAACUUAUGUCUUCCUUAUGCUGCUGGUCUCUGGUGUUCCCUGGCUAGUGGCAGUGUACCUCCAGACUUCAUAUGACAUUCUCCCUGUGUCUCUUCACAUAGUCUUCCCUUUGUGCAUGUCUGUCUCUCUUUCCAAAUUUCUGCUUUUUACAAGGAUACCAGUCCUACAGGAUUACGAUCCACUGUACCUCAUUUUAACUUCACUGUCUCUAUAAAGACCCUAUUUCCAAAUAGGGUCACAUUCUAAGGUACUGGGAAUUACGAUUUCAACAUACCUAUUUUUUGGAGAGGCACAGUGCUGUAAACUCUGGGUCUAGAGUUCUUUCUUGUCUAUCAAGAAAGUGGGACUCAGGAUUAAAAUUCGAGAGAAGACAAGAGCCCUAUUAAGGGUCCUUGCUCAGUUUUUAUUAGGAUCAGAAGGCUUACAAAUGUGGUGAUGAAUGUGCACAAAGGGACGGUGAAACUGUGAACAUUCACCCAAGGACAUGAGGGAAAGAGGGUUUUGAAGAUAUGAGGGGUUAGGGGUUUGAGUUUACAAAACAAAAUCCGGCCCCAGGCAGCCUGCGGGCCAGGCCCAGGCGGAAGGUUGUUUAUAGCAGACAUGAGGCACCACCUCCUUUUACCUAAACUGGUCUAGGGGACAGGAAAGACAGGACAUGCUACCUCAGGGUCAUUAAGGCACCUUUCUUUUGCUAAUUAACUCCUCUCUAGGCAACUUUGCACAGCAGUCUAUAGCCCUGUUUACCCUUUUACUUCAUUUGAUCCUUCUUCCUGUGAAAGCAGUUUUCUGCUAUUGUAGUAAGUUGGCUGGUGUUUCCACCCUGAAUUCCUAAUCUUCUUUAUGCAUGCACCUUUGUUUUAUAUUGGGGCCUUUGCCCCGCCCUCUCUAUACCUAUUUACCUAAUCUUGUUUACCCAAACUUGUGUGUGAGCAUCCUAUGGCUUUCUAAUUCUUUAUGCCUUGUUAACCCAUCGAUGCAGGCCCAGGGAAUUCCUAAGCUUGUUCCCCACAAUACAGUUCACUCUGUAACAGGCUACAAAUAUUUUUAUUUUAAUUUAGAAAAUUCCCAGGAUUCCCCUUUAAAAGCCUAUACAUUUUACCUUUUUGUGACACAAAAAAAUGACAUUCCUCCUUUUGGGAACUAUUGGAAUUCUCUUAAUUGUACCUAAAAGAUUUGUUAUACCUAGCAUUGUUCCAUAGAUAAGGCUUGAGGAAAAAUAGAAGUAUAUGAUAAUGAUUUAUUAGAACUACAGUGUAACAGUUGUUUUAUGGAAGUCCCUGUAUAAAAGAAGGCUAAUAAAUUGCUUUUACCUAGGAA